GGUCACGGCUCCAAGCUGCAGCGUGAGCAGCACCUGGCCUGAUGCCGGUGUGGCGAGGCCAGCCUUCAGUGUCAGCACCCGAGGAGCAUGCAGUGCUGGCACUCUGCGUGGGCACAAGAGCGGGUCCCCUUCCAGAGACAGGAGAGCUGAUGGGCAUGGCUGGAUGGAGGAGGCCUGGCUGAGGCCUUGAGGUGACGGGGACAGUGCUGGCCAUGUCCACUGAGACCCUGCUGACCAGGAUGCCGGACACUCAGGUCCACAUGCCUGCGGGGGCCCGUGGGGCCCGGAUGGAGAGCUCAGCCCACCCUGUCACUGGAGCCCAGUAUCUUGACACUGUCAUGGUGUGCAAGGGCCUGCCUGGUGUGUGCUUCCUGUGUGGGCUCAGAGCUGCCCAUGGACAACUGGGCUAGACGCUGAUGACCAGACCAACAGGCUCCGUAACCUGUAAUGAGUCCCUGGAGGCUGCUCAGUGAGGAGCAGGGGACCAGAGCCGGCCCUGAGGGGCAGCCUGCACCAACGGCUCACCAACUCACCCCACCCCCGGAGAGAGCAGGGUGUGGACUUUGCCUUGCUCGGUGGCCAAUGAGGUGCAGAUGACUGGGGACUUCCAGGCUACCUGGAGAAGGGACCUGUCACUGGCUUGAGGGUUCCUGCUCCGUGUCCUCCUUGGGCCACGUUCUGCAGAUUUUCACAGAGGCACGGUAGGCGACUGUUCCUCACUCUCUAGGCCCGAGCCACCUCUCCCUUCUGUGCCCAGAACGUUCCAGCAUUGCCCCGAGUAGGUCAGUCCCCAGGGUCUCGAGGACCUUCCUAGAGCCACUCCUGAGUCAGUGCAGGGACCCCAGGGCCUGGCACUGCCACUUAGUGCUGACAUGAGCCUCCGUUUCCGAUCUGCACACCCCUCCUCACAGGCUCCGGUCGGGGAGGAAACACGGAUUCAUGCAAGAAAACAAGAGAAUCUCCCCACCCCGUCCCCGUCCCGCUCCCUCCCACCCUCCCACCCUGCAGAGAGUUCAGGCUUCCCCCCUCGGCAGUCAGUUAAAACCGCGGCUCACGUGGUGCGGCCGGGUCAGGAGUGAGCUGCAGACCAGCCGAGCCGCCCCUUACCGUUCUGAAUUUGCCGGCAUGGUGGGGUCGAUGGAGACCAUGGCGUCGUCUGUGGUCAGGAGGGAGAUGGUUGUGUUCCUGAAAGACACCCCCGUCAGCCUUUCCCCCAGAGUCACGCACCUGCCCGCUGCCCCCACGCACAGAUGCAGAAAGAACCAGGACACAAGGAGAGGAGGGGCAGGCGACCCAAGGGCAGCUGGCGAGGGCCAAGGGGCGGCAGGUGGUCCUCGACACGUUGACCCACCCCGGAUGAAGCUGGUGGCUGAGUGCAACCUGAGGGCGGGAGAGUCCUAAAUAAUUUAGAAGAGGAACUGGAGCGCGUCUGACUUACAGAGACAGGGACUGGAAAACCACGGGUCGAAGAUCUGACAUGUGGUCUGCACGGACCUGCAGGUCCGCAGAGGAGGGCUUGGGCUCACCCUCCUACCCCAGGUCCAUCUGAACUGCACAGAGCUCACCCACCAGUCUAAUAUGGCUACGGGGAGUCUCCUCCAGCCUCCCACUCAGAGCUGUGUUACCACCACCAAGUUACUGAGGCUCUCUGCUCCAGCUGUGAAUUUUUAAAUCCCAGGCAAUGAAGGUGCCAGAGGUGCCGUGAAUACCAGAGCUGUGAUGAAUGAUGACGUGCACACAUUUCUCAGCACAGUGCUUAGUACACGGUACCCCAAGAUACCCCCAACGGUGAGCUGUUUUUGCUCCCAGGAACGGCCAUCUGCCACAGUUUCAGGCCCAGAACCUCAUGGAGUCUCCCUCUCCUUACCUGUGCAAAGCUCCCACUGUCCUCCUGACCCCUCUCCUUUACCCUGACCCUAACUUGAGGGUUACUCUCUCAGCACCACUCCUGAUGGCCCUUUAUGAUCAGAAAGGUGGGGUGCAGGCCGAGCAUCUCUUACUAACGCGGGAGACCACAGCAUUUGGAUUUUGGAUUUGGUUGGAUUUCGUGAAGCCUGUGUCUACGUAAUGCGCUAUGCUGGGGACAGGACCCAAGUCUCAACAGGAAUCCACGUGCUUCCCCAUAGGCAGCCUGAAGACACUGCGGUACAGUGUUUCUAGUGUCCCUGUGUGUCACUGCGGCCUCACAGUGGCACUCAAAGCAGUUUAGGUUUUGGAGAACUAGGAUUUCAGAUUUUUGGAUCAGAGAUGGUCAACCCAUAAUUAGAAAUUCACUAGCUUGUUGUAUGAACUUGAUUAAGGAAAAUAACUCCUAGGGAAUCCCAAGGACUCUGUGUCCCUCCACGUGGUGUGGUGUGGACUGUCCGGAGUGAGAUGAGCUGCCGCUCACCCUUCUGAACCGGUUCUGAAUUCAGACUUUCCUGCAACGGUCAACGUAGAAAACCACGGACCUGUGUUCUCUUCUUAAUUGACUGCUGCAGGAAAGUCUGAAUUCCACGCAGGGAUGGGGGUGCGGGCGGGACUAGGAAGGAGGAGGGUUGUCUUGUUCUCUUGCAGGGACCUUCUUUCCCCCUCAGGAGGAGCACUGUGCUGAAUGUUGACCCCUGGGACAGAAAGGCCACCUGGGAGGGUGAGGGGCUGGGAACCCCCCCCCCCACCCUCCUUUCUCCCACAGCAGGUGAACAACCCGAGGGGAACCAGCCUGGGGAGGGCACUGGUGCCUCGUCUGGUCUGGUGGCACUCCUCUCCACGUGGACACAGCCAGCACCUGCUGGGGCGGUGGCCGAGGUGUGCCCGGCCUCUGUGGGGCUUGGCUGGCUGACUUGGAAGAGCGGCCGUGCGGGGGCUGCCCGUCCAAGCCCCCUGGCAGCACUCACCGCGGCAGGCCCGUGGCGAUGCAGAACAGGUCCAUGAUGUCGCUCGAGUUGCAGUACUUGC